rnacentral:rRNA from 1 species
GAUCCUGGCUCAGGAUGAACGCUGGCGGCGUGCUUAACACAUGCAAGUCGAACGAAGCACUUAAAACAGAUUCUUCGGAUGAAGUUUUUUUGUGACUGAGUGGCGGACGGGUGAGUAACGCGUGGGUAACCUGCCUCAUACAGGGGGGAUAACAGUUAGAAAUGACUGCUAAUACCGCAUAAGCGCACAGGGUCGCAUGACCUAGUGUGAAAAACUCCGGUGGUAUGAGAUGGACCCGCGU